UCGAAAACAGUUCAACAUUUUAUUAAACAAAAAUUUGUGGUAAAAGUUAUUUUAACAUAUAUUUGUGUUUCUUUUCGCCUGCUUUGCCCUUAAUUUCAAAUCCUUUGUGCUGACACAAAUAAUGAGACUGAACAACAAUCAGAACAGCAAGAACAUUAAUCGAUGGCGUGCUUUCAGGCGAUUACCAUAUUGAAGGAAGAAGAAAUGUUUGUGAAGCUAAGGUGGCUUUCAAAUGUCGAUGUCCAUUCCUGUUAUCGUCACUAGG